GACGAACGCUGGCGGCGUGCUUAACACAUGCAAGUCGAACGGUGAAGGGACUGGUUUUGCUGGUCCUGGAUGAGUGGCGAACGGGUGAGUAACACGUGAGUAACCUUCCCCCUUCUUCUGGAUAACCGCAUGAAAGUGUGGCUAAUACGGGAUAUUCUGGGUCUGUCGCAUGGUGGGCCUGGGAAAGAUUGCGCCUUUUUUGGUGUUUUUGGUGGGGGAUGGGCUCGCGGCCUAUCAGCUUGUUGGUGGGGUGAUGGCCUACCAAGGCGGUGACGGGUAGCCGGCCUGAGAGGGUGGACGGGCACACUGGGACUGAGACACGGCCCAGACUCCUACGGGAGGCAGCAGUGGGGAAUAUUGCACAAUGGGCGCAAGCCUGAUGCAGCGACGCCGCGUGAGGGAUGGAGGCCUUCGGGUUGGGAACCUCUUUCGCCAGUGAAGCAGGCCUGCCUCUUUUUGUGAGUGGGUUGACGGUAGCUGGAUAAGAAGCGCCGGCUAACUACGUG
rnacentral:rRNA from 1 species